rnacentral:lncRNA from 14 species
AUUUUUUAUCAAACCUAUUGUUUGCACCAUUAGAAGGAAUGUCCACAAUAGUUAGUAACUGAAUACAGCUUCACUGCAUUAACUUCUGUGGAAGCUUCUUUUCUGCCAUGGUGUAUAUAAGGAAUCCAGAAAGAACAUCUUCUAGUUAAGUGAUUCAGAUAAGACAGACCAUAAUUUCAUGUCCAUAAUUUACAUGGCUUGAUUCAUACCUAAGCUCAUAUCUGAAAUACAUUGUAGACAAAUUCAGGUUAACUAGCUCAUCUCUGAUGUGGAGUCAUCACUCAGCAGCCAGUCUCCCACUUACUCCCCAGGGCAGACAGAGAGCG